AUGACGUGGAAUGAGCUGGAAUGCCUCUCCAGAUGCUCCAAGGUCGGCCUCCAGCCACCUCCUCCAGAGCCACAGCCUCCUCCCAUCGCGAUGGGUCCCGGGCCCUUCCCGAUGGCUGCUGGGCAUGGAGAAAGUGGAGUGACCCCCGCUUCCCGCCGCCUGGAAAAUGCAGAGAACGGGGGUUCUGAAGUGGGUGUGGGAGAAGCAGGCUUCACUCUGGACAGGUCACACGCGGCAUGGCCUUGGCGCAGCUCAGUGGGAGCACUGGGCUGGCUCGGGCUGUUUGCACCUGGAGCUCAGGGACGUUCCAGACUGGAUGAAGGUGGGGCUGCUCGACUGAGGGCUGUGUGAGGUGAGGCCGGCCGCUGAGAGGUGGCAGGGAUGGCGCAGGCUGGUGCCACUUCUCAGAGUCCACGUCGUUACUCUCCAGUGACUGCCUUGUGGCUGCUGCAACAAAGGGCUGCAAACGGGUGGCCUUAGGACAAGACAAAUGCAUUCACUUAUGGCUGCGGAGGCCAGAGGGUCACAGCAAGGUGCCGGCGGCCCGCGCUCCCUCAAGGGCUCCGGGGAGCAGCCUUCUCGCUUCCCCAGCGUCUCACACCCAGGGGUCCUUGGCUGGUGGCCGCAUCCACCCAUCUCUGCCUCAGUCCUCACAUCGCCUUCUCUGUUAUUUGAGUCUGCAAAUCUGCACCUCUCUUCUCUAAGCAUGCUUGUGACUGGACUGAGGCCCCAGCCUGAUGAUCUGGGAUAGUCGCUCCAUGUCAGGGUCCUUCAUCACGUCUCCAGAGAACUUCCUCCUCGUGAGGUCAAUCGCAGCUUCUCACAGUUUUCUCCACACACGGAGGCCUGGGGAGACAGUAUGGAGAACAGAGAGCUCGAGUUUGCAGUCAGAGCUGCACUUGGAACUGAGUGCCUGGGCUGAUGGAUCUGGUCUGGGAGUGCUGGUUAUUUGCCCGAGGCCCGUCUCCGGGCUGCCGGGGCCUCAGUUGACUCAUCCACGCGGGUGAUGACCUUGCCCGUGUCCGUGUCCUCGGCUUGCUCAGAGCUUUAUGAGCACACAUGUCAGGUUCGUGGUUGGGAGCUCGACACACACAGGCCUGGACAGAUCUGAGCCCCGGGCACGCAAGGCCCCCCUUAGAGGUGCCCUGGCUCGUUUAGCCGUAUCUCAGGCCGGGGCUCUUCUGGGAGGGACCGGCAUGGAGAAGGAGAACCAUGGUGUCUAGGUGACCUCCAGCGCUGUGGCAGGGCUGCGCUGGGAGAGGGAGGAGGCGGAGAGCCAGGCCAGGCUGGGCCAGGAGGCUGCGGGGGGAAGAGGGCCCGCAGGCUCCAGCACUAAUGAGCCUUCGCUGCC
rnacentral:lncRNA from 1 species